ACAACACAAACAAUUGUAGUAGGCAUAUAUCACAAACAUUUAUCUCACAAGAACUUGAGCUAAUACAUGGACUACGAAUCUGAAUAUAUUUCUGUAGAAAAGGGAACACACCGAUGACAAUACACACAUGAACUGGAAUUAAAAGACACAGGGUGAAUUCACAUAUGAGCUAGCAGACCACUAAUUCAUAGAUCAAAUUAAACAUACCAAAUGUUUUCCAAAGCAACUAGAAAUCAACUAGUCAGAACACAUAACAAGAUGCACCAUAUUAUACAAGUAGGAAACUAAACUUAUCAGGUUGCAAGAUCUUAUCAAAUCUGAAUAUUACAUGUACUUCACGUCUCAAAUUUUACAGAAAUUUCAGAGAAGAGAGGGAGAAAGAGAUAUUGCAGCAGCAAGAUUGAGGAGAGAGCAGCAACAAAGGGAGGUUGAGAGAGAGAUUCGGCGGAAUGUGUUGAAGAAGGAGAAGUAGCCGACAGAAAGUGAAGGAGAAGAAAGGAAGCAUAGGCGUGGGGGAAGCAGCAGCAAGAUUGAAGAAAGAGGAGCAGCAAGGACGUGAGGAUGGGGAGCAGCAACAAUUUUGGGGGAUAGAAGAAGAGAAGUAGCAGGAGAUUGGAGAAGGAGCAGCAGAGAUCGGACGCAAGCAAAGCAGCAUCAGGAACGUGGGAAGAGCGGCAACAGCGUGGGGAUGGUCGCGCGGGGCACCAGGCACCUUGUCUGGUUGAGCGCGCGAGCGUGGGGUGGAGGCGCGGUGAUGAUGCGAUGGCUCUGGUGGCUGGAUGGAUGGGCGGUGUGUGCUGGCGGCGGCGUGGGGAUGGAUUGGUGCUGGUGGAUGCUGGUGAUGGAGUGGUGGCAUGCCGCCACGCCGGCCUGGUCGCGGCGGCGGCCGGUGGUGGAGAAGGUGGCGUGAGGGGGAGAGAGGUGUAGCCAGGCCCGAAGGGGAUCGAGGGCCACCCUAUGGAUUUUGACCCCUCUCGAUCAGAUCUGCCACUUUGCACUUUUGCGCUCCUUCUAUCUUCUUCCUUCCCAAGUAGAUCCCCUCUCUUCUAUAGUUAGCCCCUCUGGUUACUUAUUGUCGUCACACACAAUCCCUUCUCUCUUCUCGUUAUCCACAUAGUAGAAAUCUUGACGAUUAUAGUGCCUUUGCGCACUUUUCUGCAAAAGAAAGAAGUCACUAGUCAACAUGCUCUUUCAUGAAUAUCAUCAAAUAUUAAAUAUCUCAUAGCAAGAAUUGAUGGUCAGAACUCAAUAAAUGGUAUAUUUCUAUGCCUAAAUUAUGUAUAUGAAAUGUGCUUAUCAAGUUCCCCCACACUUAAACCAUUGCUUGUCCUCAAGCAAAGGUAUAUGACAAGAGCAAGAAUGUGAACAGUGAGCUGAGUAAAGAAUGUCCUGGUAAAAUAGAUCUCCAAACAAGGCAUGCUUCAGACUUAGCUAGUGAAAAUUAAUGGUUAAGAAUGCUACAAAGCAAUAGGAUCCUAGUAGACUUGGACAUUUUAAACUUCUACAAUGAUAAAAGAAGAUCAACAAGUUUAAAUGAUGAUUGUGCCAAAUGGUUCCUAAAGAGAGCAUGAUCCCGAGAACCAAAAAGAAAUGGAGGUAAUUCUUGUGAUCAAAACACUUAUUGAAUUUGAAAGUAGUAAUGACAAUAUUUCAUCGGUCUCACAAAAGGAACAUACCACCGAUCCCGAGAACAUGGUAUACACCUGGCUCGACCAAUUAUUAGUUUUUUUGUUUGUCUCCCCAAAGGAACAUACCACCGAUCCAGAGAACAUGGUAUACACCUGGUUUGACAAUUACAAUUUUUAUUAUUAAUUACUGCCCAAGCUAACCUGAUUUCACAUGCCACCGAUCCAGGGAACAUGACAUGCUACUGUAGGUAGUCAGACUUAUUUAUUCAUUAUAAGAUUUACUUUUUUUUAAAUGAACAACGCAUAGGCACAAAAACAGGAAUCCUCACUUCUCCAUGUCUAGUUCACAUGCUACCGAUCCAGGGAACAUAGCAUGCUAAUCCAUAGUGGUUAGGUGAUGGCUCUCAAUGGGAACACACUUAGCACAAAUUCAGCAUCUAAACAUGGUGAUCUAGGUGUAUCAUAGUAAAUGCAGAAAAUGACGAAGUUUACUAGUGUACUAGGGAUUUGAGCACUCAAAACUAAUAGUUCUCACUAAUUUCAGCAAAGCAAUCAUUGUAUAGAUCACUAGUUUACAAGGCAUUCAACCAUCAGUUCUCAUGUUCACAUCAAGCACAAUAUGUCAAAUAAAAUUCAGUGGGAAAUCAUUUAAGAAAUGGCUUAAGCAACUCAAAUAUCAAAUGAUUUCAGCAUGAUCAAUGGAUGAUAUAUUCAGAUUGGGGUCAUGAAACAGCUCACCGGGCUUUGAUCAUGUAGCACUUGCUUGAUCACUCUCUAAGCUGCGGCUCUUCUCCAUUGCUUCCUCGUGCAUGCUCCAGCUUCACUCUUCUUCGCAUGUGCCCAUUGCUUCUCCUCAUCACCAUGCCUUGAAUCCACCAGGAUCCCAGGGAAUGUCAUCUCGAACUCGGUCAACUCGCAGUAAAUGGUGCACAAGCAUCAACCUGAAAUGGCCUUGGAGAAGUUUUAUGACUACCUCAACUGAAGAUACCAUGGAAGGCAUGGUAGUAGAAACUUCCACCGGGCUCGUAUCGACAGGUGAAAUAGUAGGGCUUUGCUCCUUGACAUCUGAAGUGACCUCAUCAUAAUCAACAAUGAAGAUUUCCAUCUCAGGCUCAAGCGUUAAAGAAUCGAUGUGGCUAACAUCAUCAAAGGUGAACUUUUCCAUAUCUGGCUCUACCAGCACAUGAUCAAUAUCAACUAAAGGUAUCUCCUCAAUAUCAAAAGUAACUAACUGUAGCUCUGGUUCAUCCCCACAAGAAUCAUCACAAUGCAAAACUGAAUCUAGAAUGCGAGUAUCCAUAUGAUCUGAAGUGUGUGUGUCAACUAGGAUGGUGUCAUCAUCAUCAUCAAAGAUAAUACAUGAAAGCUCAAUCUUGUCACACGGAGAAACUGGUUCCAGAUUUUGUGUAAGAGAUUCUUGCUGAGAUGAAGUGAUUUGUUGCAAGCAAGCAACGGGGCCAGAGGUGGGCUUCUCAUUGUACCACUGAAGUUGGUGGAAGGCUAUGUUCUCAAUCAGCAGAAAAGCAUCAUCAAGUGUCUUGUUUGUAAUAGCUCCACCCGCUGCCAUAUCAAUGUAACCGCGAGUGUCCGAAGUCAAUCCUCUAUAGAAUAUCUACAGCUCUAACCAUCUCUCAAGCCCAUGAUUAGGACAUCUCCUGAACAAGGCUUUGUACCUCUCCCAAGCAUCAUACAAACUCUCGCCUUCACGCUAAACAAAGUUGAAGAUAUCAUCUCGAAUCACGAACUGCUUGUGUAGUGGGAAAUAUUUAUCCAAGAAUGCUUGUGAUAUCUCAAUCCAACUGUAUGACCUUGAUGGCAAGGAUCGGUACCAAACACGAGCAUCAUCACAGAGAGAGAAUGUAAACAACCUACACAUGAUUGCGUCUUGAGGAACUCCGUGGUACUUGACUGUAUCUGAAUACUCCAUGACUCAGUGUAAGUGCUCAUAGGGAUCCUCAGUAGGCCGUCCUCCAAACUGACAUUGUUGAACCAAAGCAAUAAGACUAGGUUUCAGCUCGAAGUUCUCUACCUCAAUAGUUGGCCAAACCGGUCCUGUGAUAUAGCACUGACUUUUGGGCAUCCGAAGAUCACGAAGCAAGGCCAUCUUAACUGAGUGUAACUCUAGAACAACCUGCAAUUAGUUCAGAUUUCCGAUGGACACUCAUAAACAGUGAACACUAGUCAGAAAGUUAGUAUCCUAAUAAGCCGAAGCAACAAAAAGAAAAAAGGUAAAGGAAGCACAGAAAUAAAUUUGACUAGAAAUUUAAACAAAAACUAUACUAAUCCUAGUCUAUAGCUUCACACAAUCGUUCGAUGCUAGUCCCCGGCAACGGCGCCAAAAUGAUCAUUUGUGAGUACAGUGGGGUUUUAUGCCCAAACUGUGAGUGUCGUGUUCUCCACAGGGACUGCAACGAUGCUCGGCUAAAGCUAGGUGACAUAAUUCAAAUUAUGAAUGCAAGAAAAUAAACCUACACUAAACAAGGUUGUUCCCGAAGAUCAUUGACAAAGAAAACGAGAAUCAGCAAAGGGAGAUUCAGAUUUUACUCAAUAUAUUUUUGGUAUUUUCAUUAUACUUGAGAAUCUAAAACACCAACACAAAGGGAAAUAAUAUGACAAGGACACAUAUGUAACUAUCAAGCAUAUGACAGGAGGAAGAAACAAGCUAAUAUGACAGGGACAAAAUUGUAUCACAACACAAACAAUUAUAGUAGGCAUAUAUCACAAACAUUUAUCUCACAAGAACUUGAGCUAAUACAUGGACUAUGAAUCUGAAUAUAUUUCUGUAGAAAAGGGAACACAUCGGUGACAAUACACACAUGAACUGGAAUUAAAAGACACAGGGUGAACUCACACAUGAGCUAGCAGACCACUAAUUCAUAGAUCAAAUUAAACAUACCAAAUGUUUUCCAAAGCAACUAGACAUCAACUAGUCAGAACACAUAAUAAGAUGCACCAUAUUAUACAAGUAGGAAACUGAACUUAUCAGGUUGCAAGAUCUUAUCAAAUCUGAAUAUUACAUGUACUACACAACUCAAAUUUUACAGAAAUUUCAG
rnacentral:lncRNA from 1 species